ACCUGGCGGGCUCAGUUGGUAGAGCACGGGACCCUUGAUCCUGAGGCUGUGAGUUUGAGCCUCAGGUUGGGUA
rnacentral:tRNA from 1 species